UGGGGAAUCUUGCACAAUGGGGGAAACCCUGAUGCAGCGACGCCGCGUGAGUGAUGAAGCCCUUCGGGGUGUAAAAGCUCUUUCGGCAGGGACGAUAAUGACGGUACCUGCAGAAGAAGCUGCGGCUAACUACGUGCCAGCAGCCGCGGUAAUACGUAGGCAGCAAGCGUUGUUCGGAAUUACUGGGCGUAAAGAGUGCGUAGGCGGUUUGGCAAGUUUGGUGUGAAAUCUCCUGGCUUAACUGGGAGGGUGCGCCGAAAAACUGUCAGGCUAGAGUGUGGGAGAGGAAAGCGGAAUUCCUGGUGUAGCGGUGAAAUGCGUAGAUAUCAGGAGGAACACCUGCGGUGUAGACGGCUUUCUGGACCACUACUGACGCUGAGGCACGAAAGCGUGGGGAGCAAACAGGAUUAGAUACCCUGGUAGUCCACGCCCUAAACGAUGCGGACUUGGUGUUGGCCCUUCAUUGGUCAGUGCCGCAGUUAANGCGUAAGUCCGCCGCCUGGGGAGUACGGUCGCAAGGCUGAAACUUAAAGGAAUUGACGGGGUCAUAGCUGUUUCCUG
rnacentral:rRNA from 1 species